rnacentral:rRNA from 1 species
UACAUGUGGGGCAAGCGUUGUUCGGAAUUACUGGGCAUAAAGGGUGCGUAGGCGGCUUGUUAAGUCAGGGGUGAAAUCCCACGGCCCAACCGUGGAACUGCCUUUGAUACUGGCGAGCUUGAGUGCGUGAGGGGUAACCGGAACGAGUAGUGUAGCGGUGAAAUGCGUAGAUAUUACUCGGAAGGCCAAAGGCGAAGGCAGGUUACUGGUACGCAACCGACGCUGAUGCCCGAAAGCGUGGGGAGCAAACAGG